rnacentral:tRNA from 2 species
AUUUUAGUAGCUUAAAAUUUAAGAGCGUUAUAUUGAAGAUAUAAAGGAAAGACUUACUUCUAAAGUA